UGUGUAGGCGGUUGCUUAAGUUUGGUGUGAAAUCUCCCGGCUCAACUGGGAGGGUGCGCCGAAUACUGAGUGACUCGAGUGUGGGAGAGGAGAGUGGAAUUCCUGGUGUAGCGGUGAAAUGCGUAGAUAUCAGGAGGAACACCGGUGGUGUAGACGGCUCUCUGGACCGUAACUGACGCUGAGACACGAAAGCGUGGGUAGCAAACA
rnacentral:rRNA from 1 species